GAUGAACGCUGGCGGCGUGCCUAAUACAUGCAAGUCGAGCGAACAGACGAGGAGCUUGCUCCUCUGACGUUAGCGGCGGACGGGUGAGUAACACGUGGAUAACCUACCUAUAAGACUGGUAUAACUUCGGGAAACCGGAGCUAAUACCGUAUAAUAUAUUGAACCGCAUGGUUCAAUAGUGAAAGACGGUUUUGCUGUCACUUAUAGAUGGAUCCGCGCCGCAUUAGCUAGUUGGUAAGGUAACGGCUUACCAAGGCAACGAUGCGUAGCCGACCUGAGAGGGUGAUCGGCCACACUGGAACUGAGACACGGUCCAGACUCCUACGGGAGGCAGCAGUAGGGAAUCUUCCGCAAUGGGCGAAAGCCUGACGGAGCAACGUCGCGUGAGUGAUGAAGGUCUUCGGAUCGUAAAACUCUGUUAUUAGGGAAGAACAAAUGUGUAAGUAACUAUGCACGUCUUGACGGUACCUAAUCAGAAAGCCACGGCUAACUACGUG
rnacentral:rRNA from 1 species